rnacentral:rRNA from 1 species
UACGUAGGGUCCGAGCGUUGUCCGGAAUUAUUGGGCGUAAAGAGCUCGUAGGCGGUUUGUCGCGUCUGCUGUGAAAUCCCGAGGCUCAACCUCGGGUCUGCAGUGGGUACGGGCAGACUGGAGUGCGGUAGGGGAGAAUGGAAUUCCUGGUGUAGCGGUGGAAUGCGCAGAUAUCAGGAGGAACACCGAUGGCGAAGGCAGUUCUCUGGGCCGUAACUGACGCUGAUGCGCGAAAGCCAGGGGAGCGAACGGG